AUUGAACGCUGGCGGCAUGCUUUACACAUGCAAGUCGAACGGUAACAGGGUGCUUGCACUGCUGACGAGUGGCGAACGGGUGAGUAAUGCGUCGGAACGUGCCGAGUAGUGGGGGAUAACGCAGCGAAAGUUGUGCUAAUACCGCAUACGUACUGAGGUGGAAAGUGGGGGACCUUCGGGCCUCACGCUAUUCGAGCGGCCGACGUCUGAUUAGCUAGUAGGUGAGGUAAAGGCUCACCUAGGCGACGAUCAGUAGCGGGUCUGAGAGGAUGAUCCGCCACACUGGGACUGAGACACGGCCCAGACUCCUACGGGAGGCAGCAGUGGGGAAUUUUGGACAAUGGGCGAAAGCCUGAUCCAGCCAUGCCGCGUGUCUGAAGAAGGCCUUCGGGUUGUAAAGGACUUUUGUCAGGGAGGAAAUCCCUAGCGUUAAUACCGCUGGGGGAUGACAGUACCUGAAGAAUAAGCACCGGCUAACUACGUGCCAGCAGCCGCGGUAAAAC
rnacentral:rRNA from 1 species